CAGUAGCCACGGGAAUACAGAGGGUGCGAGCGUUAAUCGGAUUUACUGGGCGUAAAGCGUGCGUAGGCGGCUUUUUAAGUCGGAUGUGAAAUCCCUGAGCUUAACUUAGGAAUUGCAUUCGAUACUGGGAAGCUAGAGUAUGGGAGAGGAUGGUAGAAUUCCAGGUGUAGCGGUGAAAUGCGUAGAGAUCUGGAGGAAUACCGAUGGCGAAGGCAGCCAUCUGGCCUAAUACUGACGCUGAGGUACGAAAGCAUGGGGAGCAAACAGGAUUAGAUACCCGAGUAGUCCCUGUCUCUUAUAA
rnacentral:rRNA from 1 species